GGCUUGCGCAGCUACACAUGCAGUCGAGCGGUAACAGAUCCAGCUUGCUGGAUGCUGACGAGCGGCGGACGGGUGAGUAAUGCAUAGGAAUCUGCCCGAUAGUGGGGGAUAACCUGGGGAAACCCAGGCUAAUACCGCAUACGUCCUACGGGAGAAAGGGGGCUUCGGCUCCCGCUAUCGGAUGAGCCUAUGUCGGAUUAGCUAGUUGGUGAGGUAACGGCUCACCAAGGCCACGAUCCGUAGCUGGUCUGAGAGGAUGAUCAGCCACAUCGGGACUGAGACACGGCCCGAACUCCUACGGGAGGCAGCAGUGGGGAAUAUUGGACAAUGGGGGGAACCCUGAUCCAGCCAUGCCGCGUGUGUGAAGAAGGCCCUCGGGUUGUAAAGCACUUUCAGCGAGGAAGAACGCCUAGCGGUUAAUACCCGCUAGGAAAGACAUCACUCGCAGAAGAAGCACCGGCUAACUCCGUGCCAGCAGCCGCGGUAAUACGGAGGGUGCAAGCGUUAAUCGGAAUUACUGGGCGUAAAGCGCGCGUAGGUGGCUUGAUAAGCCGGUUGUGAAAGCCCCGGGCUCAACCUGGGAACGGCAUCCGGAACUGUCAAGCUAGAGUGCAGGAGAGGAAGGUAGAAUUCCCGGUGUAGCGGUGAAAUGCGUAGAGAUCGGGAGGAAUACCAGUGGCGAAGGCGGCCUUCUGGACUGACACUGACACUGAGGUGCGAAAGCGUGGGUAGCAAACAGGAUUAGAUCCUCC
rnacentral:rRNA from 1 species